GACAGAGGCCCCAAGCGUUAGGCGGAAUCACUGGGCUUAAAGCGUGUGUAGGCGGAUCGUUAAGUGUCUUGUGAAAUCCCACGGCUCACCCGUGGAACGGCUGGGCAUACUGGCGAUCUUGGGCCAACUAGGGGCAGUCGGAACAAGCGGUGGAGUGGUGAAAUGCGUAGAUAUCGCUUGGAACGCCGAAAGUGAAAACAGACUGCUGGGGUUGCGCCGACGCUGAGACACGAAAGCCAGGGGAGCAAACGGG
rnacentral:rRNA from 1 species